rnacentral:rRNA from 1 species
AUAAGCUAUUAAGAGCUAAUGGCGGAUGCCUUGACUGUAAGAGGCGAUGAAGGACGUACUAGACUGCGAUAAGUCUUGGGGAGCUGUCAAGAGGCUUUGAUCCAGGAAUUUCCGAAUGGGGCAACCCAAUAUAGAGUGAUCUAUAUUACUACUUCGGUAGAGCGAACCUUGUGAAGUGAAACAUCUCAGUAGCAAGAGGAAAAGAAAUCAAUUGAGAUUCCCUAAGUAGCGGCGAGCGAAAGGGGAUUAGGGCGCUUAGUGAUAAUAUAUCAAAUAGUAGAAUUACUUGGAAUGGUAAGCAAUACAGAGUGAAAGCCUCGUAUACGAAAUUUUUUAUAUGGUACUAGACUAAGGAAUGAGUAGGUCGGGACACGUGAUAUCUUGACUGAAUAUGGGGGGACCACCCUCCAACCCUAAAUACUACUUACAGAUCGAUAGUGAACAAGUACCGUGAGGGAAAGGUGAAAAGUACCCCAGUGAGGGGAGUGAAAUAGUACCUGAAACCAUUAGCUUACAAUCAUUCGGAGCCGUAUUCUAUAUGAACGGUGACGGACUGCCUUUUGCAUAAUGAGCCUGCGAGUUGUGGUGUCUGGCAAGGUUAAACCAAGUGUGGAGCCGUAGCGAAAGCGAGUCUUAAUAGGGCGACAUAGUCAGAUGCUGCAGACCCGAAACGAAGUGAUCUAUCCAUGAGCAGGUUGAAGCUGGUGUAAGAGCCCGUGGAGGACCGAACCCGUAAACAUUGAAACGUUUUGGGAUGACUUGUGGAUAGGGGUGAAAGGCCAAUCAAACUUCGUGAUAGCUGGUUCUCUCCGAAAUAUAUUUAGGUAUAGCGUCUAGUAGUAGCAUAUAGGGGUAGAGCACUGAAUGGGCUAGGGCUGUAACCAACGGUACCAAACCCUAUCAAACUUCGAAUACUAUAUGUGUAAUCUAGGCAGUCAGGCGGUGGGUGAUAAAAUCAAUCGUCGAGAGGGGAACAACCCAGACUACCAGCUAAGGUCCCUAAGUUAACAUUAAGUGGAAAACGAUGUGAAGUUACUCCGACAACCAGGAGGUUGGCUUAGAAGCAGCCAUCCUUUAAAGAAAGCGUAACAGCUCACUGGUCUAGUGAUUUUGCGCGGAAAAUAUAACGGGGCUAAAUGUUACACCGAAGCUGUAGAUUCGAAUUUAUUCGAGUGGUAGGAGAGCGUUCUAUUCAGCGUUGAAGGUAUACCGGUAAGGAGUGCUGGAGCGGAUAGAAGUGAGCAUGCAGGCAUGAGUAGCGAUAAUUAAAGUGAGAAUCUUUAACGCCGUAAACCCAAGGUUUCCUACGCGAUGCUCGUCAUCGUAGGGUUAGUCGGGUCCUAAGUCGAGUCAGAAAUGGGUAGACGAUGGCAAAUUGGUUAAUAUUCCAAUACCAAUCAUAGAGCGUGAUGGAAGGACGCAUAGAGUUAAACGAGCUCACUGAUGGAAUAGUGGGUCGAAGGACGUAGGUUGUAAUCCAGGCAAAUCCGGGUUACAUUAGACCGAGAUCUUACAGGCUCUUUAAAGUCUUCGGAUGGCAAAGAGAAUCGUUGAUACUGUCGUGCCAAGAAAAGUUUCUAAGCUUAUCUAUGAUUGCCCGUACCGUAAACCGACACAGGUGGGUGAGAUGAGUAUUCUAAGGCGCGUGGAAGAACCCCCUUUAAGGAACUCUGCAAACUAGCACCGUAUCUUCGGUAGAAGGUGUGCCUACUUUGGUAUAUGGACUUGCUCCAAAAAGCUAAAGAGGUUGCAACAAAGAGUCCCUCCCGACUGUUUACCAAAAACACAGCACUUUGCUAACACGUAAGUGGAUGUAUAAGGUGUGACGCCUGCCCGGUGCUCGAAGGUUAAUUGAUGAUGUCAGCGCAAGUGAAGCAUUUGAUCGAAGCCCGAGUAAACGGCGGCCGUAACUAUAACGGUCCUAAGGUAGCGAAAUUCCUUGUCGGUUAAAUACCGACCUGCAUGAAUGGCGUAACGAGAUGAAAUUGUAGUGGAGGUGAAAAUUCCUCCUACCCGCGGAAAGACGGAAAGACCCCGUGCACCUUUACUAUAGCUUGACACUGCUAUUGGGAUAUUCAUGUGCAGGAUAGGUGGGAGACGAUGAUGAUAUGACGCUAGUUGUAUCGGAGUCAAUCUUGAGAUACCACCCUUGAAUAUUCUGAUAGCUAACUUGAUACAUAUCCUGUAUGAGGACAAUGUCUGGUGGGUAGUUUGACUGGGGCGGUCGCCUCCUAAAGAGUAACGGAGGCUUACAAAGGUUAGCUCAAUCUGGAUGGAAAUCAGAUGUUGAGUAUAAUGGCAUAAGCUAGCCUGACUGCGAGACGUACAUGUCGAGCAGAGACGAAAGUCGGUCAUAGUGAUCCGGUGGUUCUGCGUGGAAGGGCCAUCGCUCAAAGGAUAAAAG